CGGCACGAAUGGUACAGCAAAGGCGGUGGCUUGGCACUCAAAUCCCAUGGCCUCCUUAGAGAUGGGGUGUUCGGUGGUGAUGGGGGUGGCUUGAGGUGACGAGGAUGGCCACAGUGGCUCGAGCAGACGACAGUGAUGGCAGCUUGCGGCAACGUCAAUGACGCCAAGGUUGCCAACGGUGAUGAAGAUGGUGUUGGUGGAAGGGGUAGAGGUGUGGGCGGUGGUGAUGGGGUGGCGUGGGUGAUGGUGGUGGGGAUGGGGUUGAUGGUAGUGGAAAGAAAUACGGAGGAGGUUGAGGAAAAAGAAAAACUAAAGGAGGGGGGAAGAAUGGACAGAGGAUGGGGGAGAAAGGCGUGAGGGAAGGAGGGGGAAUGAAGUGGAGGUGGAGAAGAAAGAGAGAAGGGAGGAUGGGCGGUCUGCAGAGGGAGGAGGCGUGAGGGAAGGGAGAAGAAAGAGAGAGAAGAAAAAGAAAGAA
rnacentral:lncRNA from 1 species